CAUUUACUGUGAACCGGAGGAGAAGAAACCACAACUGAUUGGCUUUUACCUGGACCACUCGUCCACUCUGCCAAAGAGAGAGGUAGUCUUCCUGUCUGAGAACGGACGGGUAAAGGAGAGUCCAUCCUACGCUGGCCGCGUUCAGAUCAGUGGAAGCUUAGCAUCUUCCCAGAUAAAUGUGUCCGUCUCCCAGGUACGACGUACUGACACCGGCCUGUACACAAGCAGGUUUAUUUACAAAGACGACUCAACCAGCCAAGACAGCACUCGCCUCUUUCUUCAUGUUACAGUCUCAGAGGAAGAUUGCCAGUGCAGUCGUUACACAUCUCUGCUUUAUGCCAUCUCUGCAGCAGUAGCCCUGCUCUCCCUCCUGCUCAUUGGCUUCUGCCUGAUGCAACAUAGCAAACAGAGGCCAAAUUCAAAGCCGCCGCCACCUCCAAGUGACAUUUAUGAGGUGAUGUCCAUCGGGCAGCAGAGAAACUGUGUGACCCAGAAUAGCCAACAGAUGGCCACCCAGCAGGAGGACAUGAACAUAUACGCCACCCCUGACCAGACGCCCGUGCAGGAGAAUCACUACGCAAGUCCUCAGACUUCAAGGCCUGGCCCUCACACUCAGACUUCUGUUCUGUGACAGUUCUGAUUCCUUGAGGAUUCCUUCUUCAAGGACAAAUUCG
ensembl:lncRNA